rnacentral:rRNA from 1 species
GGGUGCGUAACACGUGAGCGACCUACCCUGGGAUGGGGAAUAGCCGGCCCAACGGCCGGGCAAUACCGCAUACGCUGGUUGAGGGGCAUACCUCGGCCAGGAAACCUUUAGGGUCCAAGGAGGGGCUCGCGGCCUAUCAGCUAGUUGGCGGGGUAACGGCCCACCAAGGCGACGACGGGUAGCUGGUCUGAGAGGAUGGCCAGCCACAUUGGGACUGAGAAACGGCCCAGACUCCUACGGGAGGCAGCAGUGGGGAAUCUUGCGCAAUGGGCGAAAGCCUGACGCAGCGACGCCGCGUGGGGGAUGAAGGUCUUCGGAUCGUAAACCCCUGUUGCCCGGGACGAAUGCCCUAUUUGUAGGGAGCGACGGUACCGGGUGAGGAAGCACCGGCUAACUCUGUGCCAGCAGCCGCGGUAAUACAGAGGGUGCGAGCGUUGUCCGGAAUCACUGGGCGUAAAGGGCGCGUAGGUGGCUUGCGAAGCGUGCGGUGAAAGCCCGGAGCUCAACUCCGGGUCGGCCGUGCGUACUGGCAGGCUUGAGCACGGUAGAGGCUAAUGGAAUUCC